ensembl:miRNA
CGGGGGUGGGGGGGUGGGGGCGGGGCCUGGCUCCCGCCUGGUUCUCAGACCUGGGCUGCAGC